GAUGAACGCUGGCGGCGUGCCUAAUACAUGCAAGUCGAGCGAACAGACGAGGAGCUUGCUCCUCUGACGUUAGCGGCGGACGGGUGAGUAACACGUGGAUAACCUACCUAUAAGACUGGGAUAACUUCGGGAAACCGGAGCUAAUACCGGAUAAUAUAUUGAACCGCAUGGUUCAAUAGUGAAAGACGGUUUUGCUGUCACUUAUAGAUGGAUCCGCGCCGCAUUAGCUAGUUGGUAAGGUAACGGCUUAUCAAGGCAACGAAGCGUAGCCCACCUGAAAGGGUGAUCGGCCACACGGGAACUGAGACACGGUCCAGACUCCUACGGGAGGCAGCAGUAGGGAAUCUUCCGCAAUGGGCGAAAGCCUGACGGAGCAACGCCGCGUGAGUGAUGAAGGUCUUCGGAUCGUAAAACUCUGUUAUUAGGGAAGAACAAAUGUGUAAGUAACUAUGCACGUCUUGACGGUACCUAAUCAGAAAGCCACGGCUAACUACGUG
rnacentral:rRNA from 1 species